rnacentral:rRNA from 1 species
UUCGGAUUGCAGCCUGCAACUCGGCUGCAUGAAGCCGGAAUCGCUAGUAAUCGCGGAUCAGAAUGCCGCGGUGAAUACGUUCCCGGGUCUUGUACACACCGCCCGUCACACCAUGGGAGUCGGGAAUGCCCGAAGUCGGUGAGCUAACGAAAGAGGCAGCCGCCGAAGGCAGGCCCGGUAACUGGGGUGAAGUCGUAACAAGGUACC